GACGAACGCUGGCGGCGUGCCUAAUACAUGCAAGUAGAACGCUGAAGGAGGAGCUUGCUUCUCUGGAUGAGUUGCGAACGGGUGAGUAACGCGUAGGUAACCUGCCUGGUAGCGGGGGAUAACUAUUGGAAACGAUAGCUAAUACCGCAUAACAGUAGAUAUUGCAUGAUAUCUGCUUGAAAGGUGCAAUUGCAUCACUACCAGAUGGACCUGCGUUGUAUUAGCUAGUUGGUGGGGUAACGGCUCACCAAGGCGACGAUACAUAGCCGACCUGAGAGGGUGAUCGGCCACACUGGGACUGAGACACGGCCCAGACUCCUACGGGAGGCAGCAGUAGGGAAUCUUCGGCAAUGGACGGAAGUCUGACCGAGCAACGCCGCGUGAGUGAAGAAGGUUUUCGGAUCGUAAAGCUCUGUUGUAAGAGAAGAACGAGUGUGAGAGUGGAAAGUUCACACU
rnacentral:rRNA from 1 species